rnacentral:rRNA from 1 species
CCUACGGGUGGCAGCAGUGAGGAAUAUUGGUCAAUGGACGAGAGCCUGAACCAGCCAAGUCGCGUGAAGGAUGACUGCCCUAUGGGUUGUAAACUUCUUUUAUAGAGGAAUAAAACGACGCACGUGUGCCUUUUUGCAUGUACUUUAUGAAUAAGGAUCGGCUAACUCCGUGCCAGCAGCCGCGGUAAUACGGAGGAUCCGAGCGUUAUCCGGAUUUAUUGGGGUUAAAGGGAGCGUAGAUGGGUUGUUAAGUCAGUUGUGAAAGUGUGCGGCUCAACCGUAAAAUGGCAAUUGAUACUGGCAGUCUUGAGUACAGUUGAGGUAAGCGGAAUUCGUGGUGUAGCGGUGAAAUGCUUAGAUAUCACGAAGAACCCCGAGUGCGAAGGCAGCUUACUAAACUGUGACUGACAUUGAUGCUCGAAAGUGUGGGUAUCAAACAGGAUUAGAUACCCUUGUAGUC